rnacentral:rRNA from 1 species
AGAGGGGGACAACAGUUGGAAACGACUGCUAAUACCGCAUAAGCCCACGACCCGGCAUCGGGUUGAGGGAAAAGGAGCAAUCCGCUUUGAGAUGGCCUCGCGUCCGAUUAGCUAGUUGGUGAGGUAACGGCCCACCAAGGCGACGAUCGGUAGCCGGACUGAGAGGUUGAACGGCCACAUUGGGACUGAGACACGGCCCAGACUCCUACGGGAGGCAGCAGUGGGGAAUAUUGCACAAUGGGGGAAACCCUGAUGCAGCGACGCCGCGUGGAGGAAGAAGGUCUUCGGAUUGUAAACUCCUGUUGUUGAGGAAGAUAAUGACGGUACUCAACAAGGAAGUGACGGCUAACUACGUGCCAGCAGCCGCGGUAAAACGUAGGUCACAAGCGUUGUCCGGAAUUACUGGGUGUAAAGGGAGCGCAGGCGGGAAGACAAGUUGGAAGUGAAAUCCAUGGGCUCAACCCAUGAACUGCUUUCAAAACUGUUUUUCUUGAGUAGUGCAGAGGUAGGCGGAAUUCCCGGUGUAGCGGUGGAAUGCGUAGAUAUCGGGAGGAACACCAGUGGCGAAGGCGGCCUACUGGGCACCAACUGACGCUGAGGCUCGAAAGUGUGGGUAGCAAACAGGAUUAGAUACCCUGGUAGUCCACACCGUAAACGA